GAAAUAUAAGAACUCGUCUCUUAACUUUUAACUAAAAAAAUUAAGAACCGGCUCUUAAAACUCUUAUUUAAGAACCGAUUUUUAGCUUUUUUUAAUUAAAAAUUAAGAGACGGAUUCUUAUAUUCC
rfam:Brassica napus, WGS project CCCW01000000 data, contig: 869